UUCCCCAUCCUGUCACCUCCAUUCCCAUCCCUGUCCCCCUGUCCCCCACAAGACUAUCAUGGAAGCAACCAUUUUAUGUAAUAUGACCCUGCUGCCUUCCUCACCACAUUUGAUUGGUCAAAAGCAGGUGCCUGGUCCAGGCUGGGCCAAUCACAACCCAUUCCUGAGAAAUGUGAGACUGUGACUGAGAAAGAGAGCCAGGCUUUCUGGGGAAGAAGCUGUAUGAUAUCAACCUACAGAGCCAGGUGGCCGGGCUGCGUGUAGUCCACCACGUGGACAACGCCAGUGAAGGGAGAGAAGGAUUAAUGGAGCCACGACAGAAAGAUGCAGAUAUGUGGUAUCUGGGCCUCUAUGCAUACUCCUUUUCCAAGACCUGCAGAGGUCGGGAGCGAGCCUGGUGGGAAGUCCAGGAGAGACCAUCUCUUGAUGAGGACACUGAGAAAUAACUGCACAUAAUCAUGUAGCCAGUGAGUGGCAGAGGUGCCCCCUGUGUCCAUGAGAAGAUGGAUAAAUCCCACCUACAGAGAAACUCACAGAGAAGAGACCAGAAUUAAUUAGCAAGAAGAUGUUGUUAUAAACAACAUUUUCUUAAGCAAUGCGUUUGUUACUUUUAAUCCCAAAGUUAAACCAAAUCAGACUCAUCCAGUUUAGACUAGUAAGAAUCUGUGUCAAGGAAGACAGAACUAAUAUGCUUAUUAUCAUUUGUACACCAAUAGGUCCACCUAAGCUCUUGGGGGCAUUUAGAAACUGCAAAUAUUAAAUAUUUAAAUGUAAAUAUUC
rnacentral:lncRNA from 1 species